CUGCUGUUGCAGAUGACACGACAUCACCGUGUUCACUCAGCGUCACGAGAAGCAGUGCGGCUGCAGCCGCUAUUUUUUUUGCCAAAAAAAUGCUUUUCGUAUUCACUUUUGAGAACUCUUACAUCGGUUUCCCAAUUCAGCAGGGACCAAACUGUGAUUGUACACCCCAAAGUAAUUUUUUUUCCAAGUGCUUCAGCUUUCCUUUAAGCAAAGUUUGAGGAUGUGUAAGCACUGCAUAGAAGCAUUGCAAAGCUUUAAAAUUUAUUGCACAACUACAAAUAAGCUACAACGCAAUGACACAAACUGCAUAUCAAUCUUUAUAAUUAGACAUAAAAACAUUCGAACUAGACAUCCAAACAUACACAAAAUGCAAUAAAUAUUUAAAACACUAGCGCAAUCACAUGAAAAGAAUGCACCCUGCAAAUGCCCUUGAACAUGAAUACAAAGUGGAUUUUGUUUGUUGUUUUGCUCAUGAUAGGUGAGAGAGCGUGACAAGCUUUUGGAACAAGACCUUGGUUUUGUGAAUGGAACAAUUUGGUGCAGGUGAUUUUUUUUUUCAGGGUGCAAACUUUUAUUUUGGAGCAGAGGACUAAUCAUGGUGUGGGUGAUUGAAACAAGGUACAUGAAAUCUGCUCUAGCUCCUCCAUUUACACUAAGUUCUGAACUUGUACGCACUUCUGAGGGCAUAGGUGACUUUCAUAUUCUGCUUUCUGGUGUUUACAAGACACAUUGGAAUACUGCAAAUCUAGCUCCCGUAAAGCUGCCCAUAUUUGUCUGCACGCCAUACAGAUUUUUAUAAUUGGCUUUUUGUAAAAGUUGUUAGUAAGACAAUGAGUACAAGAAAUGUCAAAAAUUUUUUGUGUGCUUAUUUGAGUACUAAAAAAUAAACCAAUAGCUUUACAGCACAGAACGGGCCCUUGUGAAUAUGCUUAUGCAAAAAUUGUGACGAACUUAUGUCUAAUUCAUUAAUUAAUUUUGGGAUGACAAUGAGAGAGUAUCAAGUGUUGUAACUCAACAACUACAACAGAUAGCUCAAAACCGACUUCAGUUAUGAUAUCAGCACAACAUAUCACAUCUGCAUGCCAAAUUUCAUCACUUUAUCUCCAUAAAUAACCAAGAUAGUUUUCAUUGCCACGUCCCCCCUUAAGUCAUGUCUCACUGUACGAUUACGAGACUUUGUCAACUAUUCCAUGCACUGCAGUGGACUGUGGGAUUUGGCAAAGAAAGCAUGGUGUACCAGCAGCCAAGUACCUCAGUUCUAUUUCUUGACCGCAGCAACAGGUCGUGUUUGAGAACUUGUCGAAGUUAAACACAAAGCCUCCCAUUACUGCAAAUUUCAUGGAGCACUUGAUUUCGUACACAAGGGACCAAUUAUUACACCCUGUAUUUUAUUAAUCACGCAUGAACCACAACAGCCUCUUUAUUAAGCACAACAGCAGGCACUUAACCAUGCAGUGAAAGCCUAGAUUCUGGAUUGUAAACACAAUGCAUGGAAGAUUUACACAGCUUGUGUUUACUGUACUGUAACUAAAGUGCCGUAAAGAAACUCGGCACUUUCCAUAGAAAAACAAAGAGCAGCAACUUCAUUUCAUCUUCUGGGCUAUUAUUCUAUAGGGAGCUAAAGGCUAAGUAAACGCAGGAAGGUUAACCAGAAGAUAAAUAUCCGGUUUGCUACCAUGCACUAGGAAAGAGACAGUAGCUGCCUUGGCCUCUACAGAUGUCGGCAACAUAUUUUCCUAAACAUGCAUAACAGGUGCAAAUCAUUCCUCCGGACACCGCGCGUUGAUUGUUCCAGAUACAGGGAUAUUGCACAGAAAUGCCUCUGAUGAAAUUUCACGCUCCUUUGAAGACACUGGAAUAUUGCAAGUUAAUAAAGUCAUCAAGUCUGUAAACUGCAAAAGCUUA